rnacentral:lncRNA from 1 species
CAUUAUUUCAACUGUAGAAGAGAAGACCCCAUGGACACCUCAUCACCAAAGCAAGUUAGUUGCUUUAAUCCUUAUUCUACGAAUGGGAAACUGAAGCUCAGAGAAGGAUCAUCUUGAGAACCCCACACUGAAGAGAGCUGCUCCUGUAGGACUUGAGUCCACAUCAGGACCACAGACACAGCCUGCAGUCUCAGAAUCCUGAUGCUGCCUUGUAAACAAGCCUGCUAGAGGGAUGUGAGAGAUACAUGGACAGAACACCUAUUUGAGCCAGUUCUCCCAGCCAGGGUCAUCUGAGACCAGCCAGUUGACUGUAGAGGUAUGAGUAUGUCCAGCCAAAGCCAGCCAAGCCUAUCCCAGAUCAGAAGAACCACCCACUUCGCCCAUAAAUUCAUGAGCAAUAAUAAAUGUGUAUUUUUUAAGCUCUGGUAUAUUUUGUUACACAGCAAUAGCUAACUGAUAUAGCAAGUCCAGGGGAAUGUAACUAUGAAGAAGGUGGUCUGUCAGUUUGACUUUAGUGAACACCAGCUGCCCCUAAAUAAUUACUCAUCUUCCACUGCAGCCCCAAGCACCAGCCAGGUUGCAACUGCCACCAACAUCUCCAUACAAAAGGACUGACCAGCCUAUGCAUAGGCUGUUUGGAACUGACUUUUUUGGGCUUUACAGGAUAUUGGUCAAAAAGGACUUUUGCUCAGGCAAAGAUGGUCUCCUCAGCAGAAGUCAGAUUAGCCAGCAGGAGCAGCUGGACCUCAAAACCAUGAUCAAAAAGAGAUGCCCUCUUUGCUCCAACAGUACAGAAGAGUAGGUCACCUAAAAAAUCAAAUCAAAUCAGAGUCCAGUAAGCAGGAAUAGACUAUGCCUGGAUGUGGACAGAAGUCUGAUCUCUUAAGAGAUUAUUUCUCCUUGCUCUGAUUCUCAAGUAUUUGAAUCUGGGACAUCUGAACACUAAAUAUCAGACCAGAGCUAGGGCUACACGGAUACAGAAUUUUGCCACUUAUAAAUGCAUUUGGGAAGGUUUUUUUUCCUAAGAAGAGCAUCCAUAGCUUUCAUAAGAUUCUCAGAAAAACUGUAACCUGAAAAACAACUGUAGAGAGAAUGCUGGAAGCAACAUUGCCUGCUGUUUAUCAAUGUUCCUACAGGUCUGACUCUGUGUAUUACUCUAUCCACAUGUUAUUGGAUGUACACAUUAUAAUUCCUAUAAGAAAAUUU